AUCCCUGAAAUGCAAUGGAUAGCGUGUUGGACUUUUAACCCAAAGGUCGUGGGUUCCAAUCCCACCUGGGGUG